CCCUUGUGAAGACGAGGAAGCCAGGGAGGAGUAGAAGGAGAUUUGAGGUGGUUCGUAAGAUACCCUCGGGCAGCCAAGCCCCCCACCAAGCGUCUUCCACCUCCUGGCAGCACACGAGAUCGUCUGUUGUGUGGCUCCCACCCCGGAAUGGAAGCUUCCAGAGGGCAGGUACCUGUAUCCCCAGGGCCUGGGAUAUGUCUGCCCCCUAGCAGGUAUUUGUCCAUAAGCAUUCAUUUUAGUCCUGAGGAAUGUUGGAGAAUGUCAUAUUUCCUGCUGUGAGAAGACUUGAAGAAAGAGGUCACCAUCCCCAACCUCGGGAUGCUUACAGUCCAUUCAGGAAGUCAAGAGGAGCACACGUUCAAAGCUCCAAGGUUCAAGGUUGUAUAUGUUGAAUGAAUGGAGACACAAGGCCUAAUCGUUUCCAGGGACGUGAGCUUCUGGGCUGCUGACUUCCUGAU